AAUAGCGGAGGAAAAGAAACCAACAGGGAUUGCCUUAGUAACGGCGAGUGAAGCGGCAAAAGCUCAAAUUUGAAAUCUGGCACCUUCGGUGUCCGAGUUGUAAUUUGAAGAAGGUAACUUUGGAGUUGGCUCUUGUCUAUGUUCCUUGGAACAGGACGUCACAGAGGGUGAGAAUCCCGUGCGAUGAGAUGCCCAAUUCUAUGUAAAGUGCUUUCGAAGAGUCGAGUUGUUUGGGAAUGCAGCUCUAAGUGGGUGGUAAAUUCCAUCUAAAGCUAAAUAUUGGCGAGAGACCGAUAGCGAACAAGUACAGUGAUGGAAAGAUGAAAAGAACUUUGAAAAGAGAGUGAAAAAGUACGUGAAAUUGUUGAAAGGGAAGGGCUUGAGAUCAGACUUGGUAUUUUGCGAUCCUUUCCUUCUUGGUUGGGUUCCUCGCAGCUUACUGGGCCAGCAUCGGUUUGGAUGGUAGGAUAAUGACUAAGGAAUGUGGCUCUACUUCGGUGGAGUGUUAUAGCCUUGGUUGAUACUGCCUGUCUAGACCGAGGACUGCGUCUUUUGACUAGGAUGUUGGCAUAAUGAUCUUAAGCCACCCGUCUUGAUC
rnacentral:rRNA from 1 species